AUGGCGAUCUGCUGCCUCUGGCUCUUAGAUAGUUGGCCCCCACCCUCACCCACCUCUGAGAAAUGGACAUCAUGAAAUCACAACGGAUUGAGGCAAUAAAGCAGUUCCUCCAAUGUGAGGGAGGACUUUACUGAUAAUUCCUCCUGGUCAUUGUGGAG